UCUGACUNGAGUGCAGAAGGGGAGAGUGGAAUUCCAUGUGUAGCGGUGAAAUGCGUAGAUAUAUGGAGGAACACCAGUGGCGAAAGCGGCUCUCUGGUCUGUCACUGACGCUGAGGCUCGAAAGCGUGGGUAGCGAACAGGAUUAGAUACCCUGGUAGUNCACGCCGUAAACGAUGAGUGCUAGGUGUUAGGCCCUUUCCGGGGCUUAGUGCCGGAGCUAACGCAAUAAGCACUCCGCCUGGGGAGUACGACCGCAAGGUUGAAACUCAAAGGAAUUGACGGGGGCCCGCACAAGCGGUGGAGCAUGUGGUUUAAUUCGAAGCAACGCGAAGAACCUUACCAGGUCUUGACAUCCCGAUGCUAUUCUUAGAGAUAGGAAGUUACUUCGGUACAUCGGAGACAGGUGGUGCAUGGUUGUCGUCAGCUCGUGUCGUGGGAUGUUGGGUUAAGUCCCGCAACGAGCGCAACCCUUAUUGUUAGUUGCCAUCAUUAAGUUGGGCACUCUAGCGAGACUGCCGGUAAUAAACCGGAGGAAGGUGGGGAUGACGUCAAAUCAUCAUGCCCCUUAUGACCUGGGCUACACACGUGCUACAAUGGUCGGUACAACGAGUUGCGAGCCGGUGACGGCAAGCUAAUCUCUGAAAGCCGAUCUCAGUUCGGAUUGGAGGCUGCAACUCGCCUCCAUGAAGUCGGAAUCGCUAGUAAUCGCGGAUCAGCACGCCGCGGUGAAUACGUUCCCGGGCCUUGUACACACCGCCCGUCACACCACGAGAGUUUGUAACACCCGAAGUCGGUGAGGUAACCUUUUAGG
rnacentral:rRNA from 1 species